rnacentral:lncRNA from 1 species
UUACAGGGUUUCUGGUUGCCGGUGUUGACCUCAAGAUUUCUACAUAGCUGAGGAUGACCUUGAACUCCUGAUCCUCUUGACUCUGCUUUCUGAGUGUUGGGGUUACAGGCGUGAGCCACCAGACCCCGGGCUCUCCUGUACAGAUGCAGCUGAACUACUUAUUUAUACACACUCCAGUUCUACCAUUCAUUCAUGUAUGGAGGCUGAAGCUGAAAGAGACAUAACUAGAGGAAUACAGCUCAUGAUAGAAAGGAUGCUUUGACGUCCCCUGAGAGCCUCAGAGACCUGGAGUCAGCUACCCCUCCCUCAGAUGACUCGCUCCUGCUGGGAGCAGCUUGCCUAUGGUAGGAGGAGAAACCUUGUAGGUUCUGCAGCGGACCUAAGGCUCAGCAUACCAUCAAGCAGCUCGGUGAGAAACGGCUUGCACAUUUGUUUAAUAUUUUUAGGCAGAUAGUGGGUUUUCGGAAUAAAUGCGAAGAUAAAAAUC